rnacentral:rRNA from 1 species
GACGAACGCUGGCGGCGUGCUUAACACAUGCAAGUCGAACGGAAAGGCCCUGCUUUUGUGGGGUGCUCGAGUGGCGAACGGGUGAGUAACACGUGAGUAACCUGCCCUUGACUUUGGGAUAACUUCAGGAAACUGGGGCUAAUACCGGAUAGGAGCUCCUGCUGCAUGGUGGGGGUUGGAAAGUUUCGGCGGUUGGGGAUGGACUCGCGGCUUAUCAGCUUGUUGGUGGGGUAGUGGCUUACCAAGGCUUUGACGGGUAGCCGGCCUGAGAGGGUGACCGGCCACAUUGGGACUGAGAUGCGGCACAGACCCCUACGGGAGGCAGCAGUGGGGAAUAUUGCACAAUGGGCGGAAGCCUGGUGCAGCAACGCCGCGUGCGGGAUGACGGCAAUCGGGUUGUAAACCGAUUUCGCCUGUGACGAAGCGUGAGUGACGGUAAUGGGUAAAGAAGCACCGGCUAACUACGUG